GGCCGCCUCGUUCUGUUCCAGCGGUAGCAGACACACAGUGCUACACCCGCCCACGCCGCCACUCAUGUCCAGUAUACGGAUCUGAGACGCCCACAUGCCUGAUGGAAAAUUAUUUAGCUUUAAAUUUCAGUGCUUGAAUCAAACCACUCACAGAAAUAGUCUGGGAUUAACGCACGGAGUUCAUCUGGCCACACCCGAUUAGAGUCGGACAGUUCCAAGACUUAUUCCGCUCUUGCCCAGAGAAUGUGGCCACGUGUUAUACGUAAAAAAAUAUUUACCGGCACCAGCUUUCGGGGAAGAAAAUAUAUUUUCUGGCAACACAUCUGAAAGGAACGCGUCGGCCAUUUCAUUUGCUAGUUGUUGUUCCUCGGGAGUUCCCCCAGCAGCAGCUUCUCUCAUUUCUUGUGCCAUUUGCACUCUAAACAUAAUAUAUAUAAAGUUAAAUAUAUAUAUUUUUUUGUUAAAGCGUAAACAUUUCUAGAACGUAGGAUCAGUACUGCAGGUUAUUCAACAGUUAAUUUCAGUAGUAUUUUGUGUGAUUUUUUGUCAUCAUUAAGAAAUGUAUUAUUAAUAGAUAAUUAAUGUAUAUCUAUGUAAAUAAUAUAUUAACCUUCUUUGCUUCUUCAUUUCUUCAGUGUAAGCAUUGUGGUCAGUCUCCAAAACUAUUAUGUGAUUGUUAUCACUAUUUAUAACAAACUUUCUUGGUGUGUAAUCUAAUUGUUGGAAUGUUUGAUUGAAUACAGCGCCCAAUUUUU